rnacentral:misc_RNA from 1 species
UGGCUCUGGCAUCGAUGAAGAACGCAGCGAAAUGCGAUAAGUAAUGCGAAUUGCAGAAUUCAGUGAAUCAUCGAAUCUUUGAACGCACAUUGCGCCCGCCAGUAUUCUGGCGGGCAUGCCUGUCUGAGCGUCAUUUCAACCCUCGUGCCCGGUUCGCCGGGCGCGGUGUUGGGGAUCGGCCGCCCGUCACUGGGAGGCCGGCCCCGAAAUAGAGUGGCGACCACGCCGUGUGCUCCUCUGCGUAGUAGUAAAAACACCUCGCAGGCGGACAGCGGUGCGGCCUGCCGUAAAACCCCCAACUCUUCUAAUGGUUGACCUCAGAUCAGGUAGGAAUACCCGCUGA